rnacentral:tRNA from 1 species
GCCGGAGUGGUGGAACUGGUAGACGCGCUGGACUCAAAAUCCAGUAUCCGCAAGGAUGUGAGAGUUCGAUUCUCUCCUCCGGCA